rnacentral:rRNA from 1 species
UACGUAGGAGGCAAGCGUUGUCCGGAAUUACUGGGCGUAAAGCGCGUGUAGGCGGUCUGAAUAGUCUGCUGUGAAAGCGCCUGGCUUAACCGGGCGAGGUCGGCGGAAACUCUCAGACUGGAGGCCGGUAGAGGGGGGUGGAAUUCCCGGUGUAGUGGUGAAAUGCGUAGAGAUCGGGAGGAACACCUGUGGCGAAGGCGGCCCCCUGGGCCGCGCCUGACGCUGAGACGCGAAGGCUAGGGGAGCGAACGGG